UGGGAAGAUAUUGCACAAUGGAGGAAACUCUGAUGCAGCGACGCCGCGUGAGGGAAGAAGGUCUUCGGAUUGUAAACCUCUGUUGUCAGGGACGAUAAUGACGGUACCUGACGAGGAAGCCACGGCUAACUACGUGCCAACAGCCGCGGUAAAACGUAGGUGGCAAGCGUUGUCCGGAAUUACUGGGUGUAAAGGGAGCGCAGGCGGAUUUGCAAGUUGGAAGUGAAACUCAUGGGCUCAACCCAUGAACUGCUUUCAAAACUGCAGAUCUUGAGUGGUGUAGAGGUAGGCGGAAUUCCCGGUGUAGCGGUGGAAUGCGUAGAUAUCGGGAGGAACACCAGUGGCGAAGGCGGCCUACUGGGCACUAACUGACGCUGAGGCUCGAAAGCAUGGGUAGCAAACAGGAUUAGAUACC
rnacentral:rRNA from 1 species